AGAAGGUUUUCGGAUCGUAAAGCUCUGUUGUAAGAGAAGAACGAGUGUGAGAGUGGAAAGUUCACACUGUGACGGUAUCUUACCAGAAAGGGACGGCUAACUACGUGCCAGCAGCCGCGGUAAUACGUAGGUCCCGAGCGUUGUCCGGAUUUAUUGGGCGUAAAGCGAGCGCAGGCGGUUAGAUAAGUCUGAAGUUAAAGGCUGUGGCUUAACCAUAGUAGGCUUUGGAAACUGUUUAACUUGAGUGCAAGAGGGGAGAGUGGAAUUCCAUGUGUAGCGGUGAAAUGCGUAGAUAUAUGGAGGAACACCGGUGGCGAAAGCGGCUCUCUGGCUUGUAACUGACGCUGAGGCUCGAAAGCGUGGGGAGCAAACAGGAUUAGAUACCCUGGUAGUCCACGCUGUAAACGAUGAGUGCUAGGUGUUAGACCCUUUCCGGGGUUUAGUGCCGUAGCUAACGCAUUAAGCACUCCGCCUGGGGAGUACGACCGCAAGGUUG
rnacentral:rRNA from 1 species